rnacentral:rRNA from 1 species
GGCUCAGAACGAACGCUGGCGGCGGGUCUUAAACAUGCAAGUCGAACGGCAGCAUGAGGUGCUUGCACCUUGAUGGCGAGUGGCGAACGGGUGAGUAACACGUAGGAACCUGCCCUUUAGUGGGGGGCAACCAUUGGAAACGGUGGCUAAUACCCCAUAGUCUGGAAACAGUAAAGGCCUUCGGGUCGCUAAGGGAUGGGCCUGCGCUCUAUCAGCUUGUUGGUGAGGUAAUGGCUCACCAAGGCUACGACGGAUAGCCGGUCUGAGAGGAUGAUCGGCCACACUGGCACUGAGACACGGGCCAGACUCCUACGGGAGGCAGCAGUUAAGAAUCUUGCGCAAUGGGCGAAAGCCUGACGCAGCCACGCCGCGUGAGGGAUGAAGGCCUUCGGGUUGUAAACCUAACUAAGACGGGAAGAAUAAGCAGACACUCUCUGUGAUGACGGUACCGUCCUACAGCCCCGGCUAAUUACGUGCCAGCAGCCGCGGUAAUACGUAAGGGGCAAGCGUUGUUCGGAUUUAUUGGGCGUAAAGGGCUCGUAGGCUGGCUUUUAAGUUGGAUGUAUAAUAUUCAGGCUCAACCUGAAACCUGCAUUCAAAACUGAAAGCCUUGAGACUUGAAGGGGAGAGCGGAAUACCUGGUGUAGCGGUGGAAUGCGUAGAUAUCAGGUAGAACACCAGUGGCGAAGGCGGCUCUCUGGUCAAGUACUGACGCUGAUGAGCGAAAGCGUGGGGAGCGAACAGGAUUAGAUACCCUGGUAGUCCACGCCGUAAACGUUGUGCACUAGGUGUCGGAGGUUUCAACGCCUUCGGUGCCGCAGUUAACGCAUUAAGUGCACCGCCUGGGGAGUAUGCCCGCAAGGGUGAAACUCAAAGGAAUUGACGG